AGGUAUACAAUGAUGAGGGGUACUAGUUUCCUUCCCGUUCACCCAGAGAGCCGGCGGUUGGUGAAAGCCGGUUGAAGGGCGGAAAUGAACUCGCCUCGGAGUAACGAUGUCAACCCGGCGGACGGCGCAGUUGUUGCAAGCUUGUCCACACCGAUGAAUCAUCGUCGUCUCACCUGCGAUAAAGGUGCAAAGGGAGCCCGAGGCAAAGCAUGCCUUGGACUAACUAGGGUGGUACCACGGGAAACAAAACCUCUCGUCCCUAGC
rnacentral:ncRNA from 1 species